rnacentral:rRNA from 1 species
CCUACGGGAGGCAGCAGUGGGGAAUAUUGGACAAUGGGCGCAAGCCUGAUCCAGCCAUGCCGCGUGUGUGAAGAAGGCCUUCGGGUUGUAAAGCACUUUCAGCGAGGAGGAAGGGAGUUGUGUUAAUAGCACAGCUUCUUGACGUUACUCGCAGAAGAAGCCCCGCAU